CGUGUAGGCGGCUAGGUAAGUCGGAUGUGAAAGUCCCGGGCUCAACUCGGGAAGUGCAUUCGAAACUGCUUGGCUAGAGUAAGAGAGAGGAAAGUGGAAUUCCUGGUGUAGAGGUGAAAUUCGUAGAUAUCAGGAGGAACACCGGUGGCGAAGGCGGCUUUCUGGCUCUAUACUGACGCUGAGACGCGAAAGCGUGGGUAGCAAACAGGAUUAGAUACCCUGGUAGUCC
rnacentral:rRNA from 1 species